UACGGAGGGUGCGAGCGUUGUCCGGAAUCAUUGGGCGUAAAGGGCGCGUAGGUGGCCCGGUCAGUCCGUGGUGAAAGCGCGGGGCUCAACCCCGCGUCGGCCAUGGAUACUGCUGGGCUGGAGCACUGUAGAGGCAGGCGGAAUUCCGGGUGUAGCGGUGGAAUGCGUAGAGAUCCGGAAGAACACCGGUGGCGAAGGCGGCCUGCUGGGGCAGUUGCUGACACUGAGGCGCGACAGCGUGGGGAGCAAACAGGG
rnacentral:rRNA from 1 species